UCAUUUGCUACCGUCAAAUACCUACACGUAGGUACCAUUCUUGGCAAACAAAAGCAGUUUACAACCCAUAGGGCCGUCAUCCUGCACGCGGGAUGGCUGGUUCAGGCUUGCGCCC
rnacentral:rRNA from 1 species